UGUACGCCUAUCCAUGGCCAUAGGAGGUAUAUGUAUGUAGUGUAGCCUACACACAUAGGAUUGGGAGGCGAGACGAAGAUAACGAGGCUAUAGCGAAUUGCCUAACCAUCUAAAUCACAGCCAGUUUUAGAGUUGAGCUACAAAAUGCUUGGAAGAUCUCUCUGGUUUAACUGCAAUACAACUGUGCCUAUGUUUGUGCAAUUUGAUCAAGAUAGAUAUUCGUAAUGUGGAGGGCAGUGGGUAGCAAUACAAAAACAUUGGAGUUCUGCAAGCCAAGUCAAGAAAGUUCGUGAUUAUGCCAAUUAUAGGUCCAGUGAAAGAAAGCUAAGCUGAUCGUAUCUGGCUAAGUAAGUCUGCAUGUAUAUGAAAUUAAUAUGGUAACAACAAUAUUUCCAAGCAUCGAGAACCCUUUCCAAAUAUCAAUCCAUAAACUCGCUUUUAAUACUGACAUGAUAGUAUGAUUGUAUUAUUCUGGAGCCCAAAGUUGAAGCAACAGUGUAACACCAGCACGGCAGCAUGAGGGUGACUGGAUGUAUAGCUGCCUGGGUGAGAGGACUU
rnacentral:lncRNA from 1 species